GACGAACGCUGGCGGCGUGCCUAAUACAUGCAAGUAGAACGCUGAAGAGAGGAGCUUACUCUUCUUGGAUGAGUUGCGAACGGGUGAGUAACGCGUAGGUAACCUGCCUUGUAGCGGGGGAUAACUAUUGGAAACGAUAGCUAAUACCGCAUAACAAUGGAUGACACAUGUCAUUUAUUUGAAAGGGGCAAUUGCUCCACUACAAGAUGGACCUGCGUUGUAUUAGCUAGUAGGUGAGGUAAUGGCUCACCUAGGCGACGAUACAUAGCCGACCUGAGAGGGUGGUCAGCCACACUGGGACUGAGACCCGGCCCAGGCUCCUUCGGGAGGCAGCAGUAGGGAAACUUCGGGAAUGGGGGCAAACCUGACCGAGCAACGCCGAGGCAGUGAAGAAGGGUGUCGGAUCGUAAAGCUCUGUUGUAAGUCAAGAACGGGUGUGAGAGUGGAAAGUUCACACUGUGACGGUAGCUGAUCAGAAAGGGACGGCUAACUACGUG
rnacentral:rRNA from 1 species